CUGCGGCUAAUUAAGCCAAGUAGACUGCCGUCCCUCUGGGACUCUGCAGCGGCUGCGGACAGCAGCCUCCCUGGCAGUGCUGUGGACUGUUCUUUGUAGAGAUUACCAGAAGGGACCUUGGACACAGCC
rnacentral:snoRNA from 1 species